GUCGAGCGAUGAACAUUCAAUGAUCCCUUCGGGGUGAUUUGGCUGGGAUUAGCGGCGAACGGGUGAGUAACGCGUGAGGAACCUGCCUCUUACAACGGGAUAGCCUCGGGAAACCGGGAUUAAUACCGUAUAAGACUCCGACAUCUCCUGAUGAUGAAGUCAAAGCGUAUGCGGUAAGAGAUGGCCUCGCGUCUGAUUAGUUAGUUGGCGGGGUAACGGCCCACCAAGACGACGAUCAGUAACCGGCCUGAGAGGGUGAACGGUCACAUUGGAACUGAGACACGGUCCAAACUCCUACGGGAGGCAGCAGUGGGGAAUCUUGCACAAUGGGGGCAACCCUGAUGCAGCGACGCCGCGUGAGCGAUGAAGGUUUUCGAAUCGUAAAGCUCUGUCCUAUGGGAAGAUAAUGACGGUACCAUAGGAGGAAGCCCCGGCUAACUACGUGCC
rnacentral:rRNA from 1 species